UGCCAGCAGCCGCGGUAAUACGUAGGUGGCGAACGUUGUCCGGAUUCACUGGGCGUAAAGCGCGCGCAGGCGGGUUAUCAAGUCAUGUGUGAAAGCUCCCGGCUAAACUGGGAGAGGUCAGAUGAUACUGAUAGCCUGGAGUGCAUCAGAGGUAAGUGGAAUUCCGCGUGUAGUGGUGAAAUGCGUAGAUAUGCGGAGGAACACCAGUGGCGAAGGCGGCUUACUGGGAUGCAACUGACGCUGAGGCGCGAAAGCAUGGGUAGCGAACGGGAUUAGAUA
rnacentral:rRNA from 1 species